AUUGAACGCUGGCGGCAUGCUUUACACAUGCAAGUCGAGCGGCAGCGCGGGGGCAACCCUGGCGGCGAGCGGCGAACGGGUGAGUAAUGCAUCGGAACGUAUCCUCGAGUGGGGGAUAACCCAGCGAAAGUUGGGCUAAUACCGCAUGAGCUCUGAGGAGGAAAGCGGGGGACCUGCGAGGGCCUCGCGCUGGAGGAGCGGCCGAUGUCCGAUUAGCUAGUUGGUGGGGUAAAGGCUUACCAAGGCGACGAUCGGUAGCUGGUCUGAGAUGAUGAUCAGCCACACUGGGACUGAGACACGGCCCAGACUCCUACGGGAGGCAGCAGUGGGGAAUUUUGGACAAUGGGGGCAACCCUGAUCCAGCCAUGCCGCGUGAGUGAAGAAGGCCUUCGGGUUGUAAAGCUCUUUCGGACGGAACGAAAUGGGCGGGACUAAUACUCCUGUCUGAUGACGGUACCGUAAGAAGAAGCACCGGCUAACUACGUG
rnacentral:rRNA from 1 species